UGAGGGUCCUGAGGCCUGGACUGUGUCCCCCCUUUGCUGGGUGAUAGGCACCUACGACUUGCAUCAGUCAGUGUCCUGCCACUGACAGAGGCCACACCAACAAAGAGAAGAAGUAAUCUUAUCUCCACCUGAAGCAGUUGCAGGUGCUUGAAACCUCAUAGAAGAAAGCGUCAUGGACACAACGUAAUUGCCCUUGACAAGCCCUGGCUUCUGGACUUCAUAUGAAACCAGAAAAGAAAUAUGGUUUGUGGGGCUUCCCUGGUGGUACAGUGGAUGAGAAUUCGCCUGCCGAUCCAGAGGACAUGGGUUUGAUCCCUGGUGCAGGAAGAUGCCACAUGCCCUGAAGCAGCUAAGCCCGAGCAGCAAAACUACUGAGGCUUGCACGCCUAGAGCCUGUGCUCGGCGACAGAAGAAGCCCGCGUGCCACAAGGGAGAGUAGCCCUGCUCGUUUCAACUGGAGAAAACAGCAACGAAGACCCAGUGCAACCA
rnacentral:lncRNA from 1 species